CCAGCAGCUAGGACAAUCCUUGGCUUUUUCUACUAUAUAAGCUGAUGAAGCCCCUUUUUGCUUAGGCCAGUUUGGAUUGGCUUUUGAGUUUUUACUCACCCGUGGUUAAUAGAUCUAGAAAUGUUUAUGCUGAAGGGGAAAACAGCCAAGAGAAACACUAAUGCAUUCCAAAUAUUUCAAGGAUAUUAGGUAGAAAAAAUAUUAGAAUAUUCUGUGUGUCCCAAUUGGUAGAACCAGAAUUAGUGGGUAGAAGUUUCAGGUGGUCAGAUUUCAGGUCAAAGUAAGAAACAGCUUUUUAACUCUUAGGGUUCUUUCCCAACGAUUCAAUGUGAAGAAAUGAACACUUUUCUAAGUUUCUUCUAAAACAAGGAGAGUGGAAGGAACAUAGCAGCUGCCCCCAUGUUAAAAGCACCUCGAAAUGAUCCAAGGCAAUUUAAAAAAAGUUGUCUGAUUACCUUUACUAAUGCAUUGAGAUUUAAAUACCAGGGCUUUCAUUUAGCUUUCCGUUCCUCUGUGUCGAAGAGGAUGUGGUUACUUACUUACUCUUAUUUCUCUAGACACUCUGUGGAUUGUGACCUGUUGGUGGGCCAUGAAAUCAAUUUGGGGGUUUGAGAGCAUCAUUCUUUUAAUAAAACAGAAGAGAAUCAUCUGCAAUAAGGAACCCAUGGAUGAAUACCAUCUGGUCCUGGUGAUUUACUGCACAGAGUCCCUCAAGUUGCUCCAUACCUUUCUCCUGAGAGACUGAAGAAUCUCUGUCAAGGCCGUUCUCUGCUUUGCCAUAAAAUGUGUCCUUGGAACAAGAAUUUCCCCAUUGUCUUCUUCAAUAAAUACUGAUUCAAAGUAUUCAUUUAGCUGUUCC
rnacentral:lncRNA from 10 species